rnacentral:rRNA from 1 species
AUGCAUGUGGAUAAAGCACCUGGGCCUGAUGGCUUUAAUGGUCUAUUCUUCAAGAGGUGCUGGCACAUUAUUUCAAGUGAUCUGGCUCAUGCUUUUCAUGAGGGGACUGCAGUGCUGGACAACAUUAAUAGUUCUUUCAUUACUCUGAUUCCCAAGAAACUCUCACCUGAGGAAGUGGGGGACUAUAGGCCUAUUUCUCUCACAAGCAUGGGUCUGAAAUUCCUCUCUAAGAUGGCUGCCAAUAGGUUUCAGAGGAUAAUCAUGAAAUGCAUUCAUAAGAACCAGUAUGGUUUCAUUAAGAGCAGAACAAUUCAGGACUGCAUUGGUUGGACCUUUGAGUAUCUGCAUUAA